GGCUCGUAUAGGUAAGAAUAGCCUCCAACUCCUGCUCUGACUCCUGAAGCGCCGGCUUUCUUCAAGCCCUUUUUCUUAACAAUGAAGCUAGCACCAAUAAAAAAACUGGAGGAAAGAGCAAGAACCAAGCCCUUAACAUUAUCAGAGGACAUGCCCUCCCGCCAGCUCGGAGUUUGAGUGGUUGCCAUGGAGGAUAGAAACCCUAGGUUGGAAGUUUGGGAAGCAUAUCAUAACAUCAAUGAAAAGCAGAAUUCAGAAAUGGGCAGUGAGUCACUUGGGGAAGUGGAAGCGAGUCAGGUAAACGGAAUUAAUGUCGGAUCUUGAGGCAAGAGAAACUCAGAUCGGGAUUAUCUUGGAGAAAAA
rnacentral:misc_RNA from 1 species